rnacentral:rRNA from 1 species
CAGGUCUUGACAUCCCACUGCCCGGUGUAGAGAUACACCUUUCCCUUCGGGGACAGUGGUGACAGGUGGUGCAUGGUUGUCGUCAGCUCGUGUCGUGAGAUGUUGGGUUAAGUCCCGCAACGAGCGCAACCCUUGAUCUUAGUUGCCAGCAUUCAGUUGGGCACUCUAAGGUGACUGCCGGUGACAAACCGGAGGAAGGUGGGGAUGACGUCAAAUCAUCAUGCCCCUAUGACCUGGGCUACACACGUGCUACAAUGGACGGUACAGAGGGUUGCCAACCCGCGAGGGGGAGCCAAUCCCAUAAAACCGUUCCCAGUUCGGAUUGCAGGCUGCAACUCGCCUGCAUGAAGCCGGAAUCGCUAGUAAUCGUGGAUCAGCAUGCCACGGUGAAUACGUUCCC